CAGUAGCCGCGGUAAUACAGAGGGUGCGAGCGUUAAUCGGAUUUACUGGGCGUAAAGCGUGCGUAGGCGGCUUUUUAAGUCGGAUGUGAAAUCCCUGAGCUUAACUUAGGAAUUGCAUUCGAUACUGGGAAGCUAGAGUAUGGGAGAGGAUGGUAGAAUUCCAGUUGUAGCGGUGAAAUGCGUAGAGAUCUGGAGGAAUACCGAUGGCGAAGGCAGCCAUCUGGCCUAAUACUGACGCUGAGGUACGAAAGCAUGGGGAGCAAACAGGAUUAGAUACCCCAGUAGUCCCUGUCUCUUAUAC
rnacentral:rRNA from 1 species